rnacentral:rRNA from 1 species
CAAAAACAUCGCCUCUUGCCAAAUUAUAAGAGGUCCAGCCUGCCCAGUGACAAGAUUCAACGGCCGCGGUAUCCUAACCGUGCGAAGGUAGCAUAAUCACUUGUUCUUUAAAUAAGGACUAGUAUCAACGGCAUCACGAGGGUUACACUGUCUCCUCCCUUCAAUCAGUGAAACUGAUCUCCCCGUGAAGAAGCUGGGAUAUUAUUAUAAGACGAGAAGACCCCAUGGAGCUUUAAACUCAACAGCAUCUUCUUACACUAAGACCAAGAAAACUAAGGAAAAACUGCUUGUUAGUUUUAGGUUGGGGUGACCGCGGAGAAUAAUUAAACCUCCACAACGAAUGGGCACGCCCUUAUCCAAGAGCAACCACUCUAAGAAUCAACAAAUUGACGUACUAUGAUCCGACACUCGAUCAACGAACCAAGUUACCCUGGGGAUAACAGCGCAAUCCAUUUCAAGAGCCCCUAUCGACAAAUGGGUUUACGACCUCGAUGUUGGAUCAGGGUAUCCUAGUGGUGCAGCCGCUACUAAAGGUUCGUUUGUUCAACGAUUAAAACCCUACGUGAUCUG